UACAGAGGGUGCAAACGUUGUUCGGAAUUACUGGGCGUAAAGCGCGUGUAGGCGGCGGGUUAAGUCGACUGUGAAAGCCCAUGGCUCAACCAUGGAAGUGCAGUCGAUACUGGCCUGCUGGAGUCCCGGAGAGGGUGGUGGAGUUCCCAGUGUAGAGGUGAAAUUCGUAGAUAUUGGGAGGAACACCGGUGGCGAAGGCGACCACCUGGACGGGUACUGACGCUGAGACGCGAAAGCGUGGGUAGCAAACAGG
rnacentral:rRNA from 1 species